CCUUUCUUGACUCUCUCUCUUCUUUUUGUCGUUCGCUUUCCCAUCUCUCUCUUCUCAGGGCCUGGUUUAGUCUGCUACUCUCUCCCUGCUCUGGACUCUUCCGGAUGUCCGGAUGUCUCUAGCUGUACUCUCCCUCGUAGCGACAAUAAAAUCACUCUCUCAGCCAUACCUUGGAGCAGUAAUGACCUGAUUUCAAUCAUCGACAGUAAGGGCAGCUCAGAAACAAUGGAUCCAAAGGACUACAGCUUGAAGCCUCUUGACUCAGAAGCCAGAGUACACACAUUUUUCCUCCUCUUGAUGGAGAUGCCUCUCACAGGACCUCUCUGAAUCCGCUUCAUCAGAUGCCGGCUAUCUUGUUCCGACGGUUUUUGCUGGGGAUGAUGGCGAUCUCCUCAUACACGCGCUUGUUGGUGUGGAAGUCAUUACCCAGGUAUUCGGCUGGUGCUGGCUACUCCAUUGUAGUAGCUUAUGGGUAGAUGUCAAUCUUCUGGUUUCCACAAGGACAGCCACUUCAUCGUCCAGGUACCCCGCUCCUCCACAGCCUUUACUUGUACGAAUGCUUCG
ensembl:lncRNA